AUGGAAUGAAACAGAGCGGGGCAGAAAAGUUCCAAGGCAGUUAAACAAGAGAUACCUGGUAGAGCUAAAGGGAAUAUCCUAGAAACCAAUGGGCAGAAGCCAUGGAUGCUGCUUAAUGUCUUAAGAUGGCCACCUCUCAUCAUCAAGAGUUAUCCAGCUCAGAAAGUCAGUAGCAUCAUGGCUGAGAAACCCUGGGAGACUUCCAGACCAGUGGCUAAACAACCAUGGCUUAUGAUGGGCAGCAUCCCUUGUUGGAGUGGCCUUCUUGCUGCAUUAUGACUUGGUGAAGACGUGUGUGAGCAGGGGAGCAAAUUCACGUCCAUCAGGAAUUUACUCCUGAAACGAUGAGCCUGCUUUGGUCACAAUACCAUUCAUCCACGAGUGAAAUGCGGAGCUCUCAUGGCCCAAUCAACUCUCAAUGCUUCUCAACACUGCUGCAUUAGGGAUUUGGUUUCUAAUGUAUGGGUUUUGGGAUGCAUGUGAGUCAAAGCAAUGUUAUUGCUAUUAAAAUGCAAACAGUGGCCAA